UACGUAGGGCGCAAGCGUUGUCCGGAAUUAUUGGGCGUAAAGAGCUCGUAGGCGGUUUGUCGCGUCUGCUGUGAAAUCCUCAGGCUCAACCUGGGGCUUGCAGUGGGUACGGGCAGACUAGAGUGCGGUAGGGGUGACUGGAAUUCCUGGUGUAGCGGUGGAAUGCGCAGAUAUCAGGAGGAACACCGAUGGCGAAGGCAGGUCACUGGGCCGCAACUGACGCUGGAGGGAGCGGAAAGCAUGGGGAGCGAACAGG
rnacentral:rRNA from 1 species